rnacentral:rRNA from 1 species
UACGGAGGGGGCUAGCGUUGUUCGGAAUUACUGGGCGUAAAGCGCACGUAGGCGGCUUUGUAAGUUAGAGGUGAAAGCCCGGGGCUCAACUCCGGAAUUGCCUUUAAGACUGCAUCGCUAGAAUUGUGGAGAGGUAAGUGGAAUUCCGAGUGUAGAGGUGAAAUUCGUAGAUAUUCGGAAGAACACCGGUGGCGAAGGCGGCCUGCUGGGCAGUUGCUGACACUGAGGCGCGACAGCGUGGGGAGCAAACAGG